AGAGAAGAACUACAGAAACUAGGAGAAAAAACUUCUUGGAUCCCUUGGCUUCCAGUCUCACUUUGCCAAUCAAGGAGCAAAGUCUAACAAGGAUGUCCGGGACUCCAAAGCCCGUCUGCCAGCAUUGCUCAGCUAGCUGAAUGCAAGACAUUACCCACCAGCUCUGAAAAAAACCCUGCCUGAUGCUGAAGCCAAGACAGAAGAAGGUGGCUCUCAGGGCUGGAGACAGUAUCGUGACAAUAUCUUUGGGGCAUCUGGAAAUAGAUGAGUCUAAAACUUCACCUUUUCCACCCUAAAGAAUCAAGAUGUUCUUUCGUGUGGCAGCUACCAUCUUUGUAUUGCCAACUCAGGGCUUCAAUCCAUAGUCCAAGAAAGGCGGUGACCUGUUUCUCUAAAAAUUUCCAUCACAAUGAUCUUGUGAAGCUCUUAGUCUCUAAGGAAAUCCCUUGCCCAUCUCAUUCCCAGGCAGAGCACAAGUCAGAAAAACCAAGCAACAAACUUCUCCCCUUAGAAAAACACU